AUAUCUAUCAUUUUUAUGCAUAUUUUAUACAUUACAAAUGAAAAUACUCAUCUAAUGACAUUUGUUGUAUUUCAGGAGCAACAGGUCUGGGCAGAAGAGGACAUCGAAUCAAUUUAGCCGACAUUCUAAGCAAAGAAUUUGAACCUAGAUUAUUCAAUGGCAGUUGGGUUUCAGAUGACCAACUUGUAUAUAGAGAUAAAGAUGGACACCUAAUUUUGUACUCCAUCAGAUUAAAAACGACAAAAAGAAUACUACAUAACUCAAUUUUUAGAGAAACAAGAGCUGUUAAAUAUAGUAUGUCAUCAGAUUUGAAAUACAUUUUAUUGUGCUACGACAUAACUCAGGUCUUCAAAUAUUCAUUUGAAGCAAGAUAUAAAAUAUAUGAUGUAGAG